GCAGCCCAGCCUAAGCUCUCCUGUUGCUGCUUCUAUGCUAGGCCCUUCCUUAUUUUACUGACCCCAGCUUUAAUAAAUAUACUGUCAAAAUUG